rnacentral:rRNA from 1 species
UCGAAGGAAUUGACGGGGACCCGCACAAGCAGCGGAGCGUGUGGUUUAAUUCGUUGCUACACGAAGAACCUUACCUGGGUUUGACAUAUAAGUUGUAGGGAACUGAAAAGGGACCGACCCUUCGGGGAGCUUAUACAGGUGUUGCAUGGCUGUCGUCAGCUCGUGUCGUGAGAUGUUCGGUUAAGUCCGCUAACGAGCGCAACCCUCGCCGUAUGUUACAAGUGUCAUACGGGACUGCCGGUAAAAGCCGGAGGAAGGUGAGGAUGAUGUCAAGUCAGCAUGACCUUUAUAUCCAGGGCUACACACACGCUACAAUGGUCUGUACAAUUGGUUGCCAAGCCGCGAGGCGGAGCCAAUCCGUAAAGCAGGCCUCAGUUCAGAUUGCAGUCUGCAACUCGACUGCAUGAAGCCGGAGUUGCUAGUAACCGCAGGUCAGCAAUACUGCGGUGAAUACGUUCCCGGGUCUU